rnacentral:rRNA from 1 species
UACGGAGGGAGCUAGCGUUGUUCGGAAUUACUGGGCGUAAAGCGCACGUAGGCGGCUUUUUAAGUCAGGGGUGAAAUCCCGGGGCUCAACCCCGGAACUGCCCUUGAAACUGGAGAGCUAGAAUCUUGGAGAGGCGAGUGGAAUUCCGAGUGUAGAGGUGAAAUUCGUAGAUAUUCGGAAGAACACCAGUGGCGAAGGCGACUCGCUGGACCGACACUGACGCUGAGGCGCGAAAGCGUGGGGAGCAAACAGGG